GUGAGGUAACGGCUCACCAAGGCAACGACGGGUAGCUGGUCUGAGAGGACGAUCAGCCACACUGGGACUGAGACACGGCCCAGACUCCUACGGGAGGCAGCAGCAGGGAAUAUUGCACAAUGGGCGCAAGCCUGAUGCAGCGACGCCGCGUGAGGGAUGACGGCCCUCGGGUUGUAAACCUCUUUCAGGAGGGACGAAGCGAAAGUGACGGUACCUCCAGAAGAAGCCCCGGCCAACUACGUGCCAGCAGCCGCGGUAAUACGUAGGGGGCGAGCGUUGUCCGGAUUCAUUGGGCGUAAAGAGCUCGUAGGCGGCUCAGCAAGUCGGCCGUGAAAGCCCGAGGCUCAACCUCGGGAGGCCGGUCGAAACUGCUGUGGCUAGGGUCCGGUAGAGGAGAGUGGAAUUCCCGGUGUAGCGGUGAAAUGCGCAGAUAUCGGGAGGAACACCAGUAGCGAAGGCGGCUCUCUGGGCCGGUACCGACGCUGAGGAGCGAAAGCUAGGGGAGCAAACAGGAUUAGAUACCCUGGUAGUCCUAGCCGUAAACGUUGGGCACUAGGUGUGGCGGAUUCAUUGACAUCUGCCGUGCCGCAGCUAACGCAUUAAGUG
rnacentral:rRNA from 1 species